GAUAAAUAGCAAAGAAAGAGAUCCACCACCAAUUUUUUCCAUAUUGGUUACUCAUAUCUGUAUAUCUCCAAUCUUGUUUAACUCCCAACUGCCAAUUUUCCCUUCUGAAGUAGCUAUGAAUCAUCCUAAUACUCCAAAUCCAUGUCAAAAUUGUCACAAUCCAUGACCUCAAUUGAUUGUAUUGUGCCAUGGGAAGAUUGGCAUAGAAAUGUAACAACAUUACUGGAAU
rnacentral:lncRNA from 1 species